GUCUCCAUACCAUUGUUGGCUCUGAACCUCUUCAAUCUCGGCCUCACUUUCUGAAGAGGCUAGGGAUGGAGACUUGUUUCCAGAGGUGGAAGGCUGAGUGGGUGGGUUCCUUCAUUUUCGCUGGAGCUGUCUAUCAGUGAGUGGGAAACCAAGAUCAGUGGGCUGAGGUGGGGGCUGGGGGACUGAUGUGUUCGCGAAGGUGAAGUCCGCUGAGCUACAUCCAGCUAUUCCUCCUCUGGUCAAGACAUCGACCACCUUCUUCAUGAACUUGGCUGAAGUCUUUGCUUGCUUCUUC
rnacentral:lncRNA from 1 species